GAGUGUAGUACUAGGAUGGGUGACCUCCUAGGAAGUCCUCCAUCAGAAUUCCGAAGUUAAGCGUGCUUGGGCGAGUGUAGUUCUAGGAUGGGUGACCUCCUGGGAAGUCCUCAUGUUGCAUCCU
rnacentral:rRNA from 1 species